UCUGAACGCAGGGGUGUGUGGCUGGUGGCCCCCCUCAUCGCCAGGCUACCAACGUCUGUGCAGGGAAGAGUGUUGAAAGCUGCUGGGGAAGAGCUGGAGAAGGGACAACACCUGGGCUCUUCUUCAAAGAAGGAAAGAGAUAGGCAGAAGCAGAAAAGUAUGUCUCUUUUGAGUCAGCAACCUUUCCUCUCCUUGGUCCUUACCUGCCUUAAGGGGCAAGAUGAGCAACGGGAAGGCCUCCUAACAUCUCUGCAGAAUCAAGUUAAUCAGAUUUUAAGUAACUGGAGGGAAGAAAGAUACCAGGAUGACACAAAAGCCCGCCAG
rnacentral:lncRNA from 1 species